rnacentral:rRNA from 1 species
GACGAACGCUGGCGGCGUGCUUAACACAUGCAAGUCGAACGAAGUGGCGAACGGGUGAGUAACGCGUAAUCAACCUGCCCUUCAGAGAGGGACAAAAGUUGGAAACGAAUGCUAAUACGGCCUACUGAAGGAGGGGGAUGAGGCUGCUUAGCAAGUUGGAGGGGGAACGGCCCAACAAGGCGAAGAUGAGUAGCCGGUCUGAGAGGAUGAACGAGCACAUUGGGACUUGGACCCGGCCCAGACUCCGACGGGAGGCAGCAGUGGGGAAUCUUCCGCAAUGGACGAAAGUCUGACGGAGCAACGCCGCGGGAGUGAUGACGGCCUUCGGGUUGGAAAGCUCUGUUAAUCGGGACGCGGUACCGAAAUAGAAAGCCACGGCUAACUACGGGCCAGCCGCCGCGGUAAUUC